UACGUAGGGGGCAAGCGUUGUCCGGAAUCAUUGGGCGUAAAGCGCGUGUAGGCGGUUCAGUAAGUCUGCUGUGAAAGUCCAGGGCUCAACCCUGGGAUGCCGGUGGAUACUGCUGGGCUAGAGUACGGAAGAGGCGAGUGGAAUUCCCGGUGUAGCGGUGAAAUGCGCAGAUAUCGGGAGGAACACCAGUGGCGAAGGCGACUACCUGGCCUGUUCUUGACGCUGAGGCGCGAAAGCUAGGGGAGCAAACGGG
rnacentral:rRNA from 1 species